UCAGUCUGUGAAUGAGCUCGAGGACUUUGCACCCAUGCAACGCUUUAAGCGAAUGGAGGAAAUGAUAGAGCAAACUGAAGACAAAUAAUGUGGAAAGCCGGUGUUUAUUCAUUGUAAUAAAUAAAUUGCAACUGAAAACUGUU